rnacentral:misc_RNA from 1 species
AUAUAAAUUAGAAUGCUUGUAAAUUAUUUUAGUAUGAAGAAAUAUAAACUAAAAUUUCCCAAAUUCUUUUUUUUCUACAUUCAUAUUACUGUGGAAUCAUUUCAGUUCUCUAUAAUAAGAGGGAAUAAAAUAUCAGAGGUUAAUGAAACUUUAGAGAAGAUGAACACGGGAAAAGUGUGGCACUGUGGCCCUAAUGGAAUGUUCCUCAAGAGAAAAGGAGCUGUGCUAGAAAAAAAAUGGUUUAAUAAUGUAAGAAAUCAAAGAAUGUUAGAACAAAUUGAAGCACUUCCUAUAUUUAAGAACUCCAUAGAUAUUAAACCCAAGGAUUUAAGAAAUCCACAUUUCCGAGGAUUUAAUCCAA